UAUCGAUCGGUUUCGGCCGAAGCCAACCGCCUUUACACACGACAGUCCCGACUCACGAGCGACGCGAAGGUUCCUCUCCUUGAAAUGCGAGUCACAAAUCAAUGCGGGACGACCAUCCGAUUUCCCUCUCGAAAUCGGAUUAAUUUCCAAUCCUGUACAUUUCAGAGCGUAUCGUUAUAUGCCAGCAUAUAAUAGGAAGUCCAUAAUAAUUUACAAAUUCAAACGAUCCACUUAAAUGUCACAUAUGGCGGUAUGUGCAGGCACGGAAACCGAUCACUCUUUCACUGCGAGGGUAAUAAAUUAUUUGAAGUUCUCUCGGCACGUCCAUCCUUCGCUGUUGACCAUUCCAUCCUGCUGUUGACCGCUAUUCUAACCGUCGAGCGACAUGACCAACUUCUGUAUGUCCAACUGUAUGUCUGCGGCGGGUCGGUAUAGCUACUUAUUAAUGGGAAGACUUGUUGCUCCGUCACGACACUGCAGUUGCAGUUCCAUUGUAGUUUAUGCGGCUGACGCUCUCCGAUUUUGAAGAGAUGUACGGUUUUUUUUUACGCAUUUAUACAGGUUUGCGAGUUGAGAUAAAUAAUAUGAGAUAAAUAACGACACAACAA